AAAGUGCAGAGAGCUCCAUCAGAGAAAUGCAGUUAAAAUCCAGUAGAUACCACCGUACACCUGAAAGACUUGUGAACAAACAGAUGACAGAAAAACAAAACAAAGCAAAACAGAACCUGAGAAUUUGAAUUGCUGCUUCUUUGGACCUUUUAAGUUGCAUUAUCCCAUAAAAUGUGGUGGAUUCAAUGUUGUAUGGCCUGUAAAACUAAGUAAUGAAGGCUGAUAUGUACCCACCUGGCUCUGUCUUGGGAUCACACAACUUGGGAGCCAAAACAGAUUGCAAAUGAUGUUCAAAUCAAGGACUGGCUUAAGGGAGAAAAUCAAUUAUACUGUACAACUCACACUUAAGACCUCAGAGAGAUCUAAGAUGAUUCUUUAUAUAAUUUUUAAAACAAUCACCCCUCUAAGGAGCAUAACAAUGUGUUUUAAAUGUCCUCCCCAUUAUACAGUGAGACUUAUAAGAAUCUCAAGGAUGGUGUCCCAAGGCAAACUCAUGGCAAGAUCAAGAAAGAGAAUGGCCUGUCUUGACAAGAUUUGUGGUUUUGGCUUUCGUCUGAUGGAAUGAAUUGUACACAAAUACACAGAAAUCCCACAAAUAUUAAAAUAAUUGUAUCAACUUGUAAGAAAAAGGGAAAGAAAUAGCUUAAAAUGGAAUAUUGCUAAGCCCUCAAACCUUUACAAGCAGGAAAUAGGUGUAAACAGGCUUAGGAAAAUGGAAGGUGGACUCAGGGCAGAUUGAGGAGAUCUUGGAGUGCAGCAAAGAGCCAUAGAGAGCAAUUUCCAGGGAGUAGGACUGAACUCUAACCAAAUAAUUGGCAGCAUGUGCCUGGCAUUUCAGGAUUGACAUGGACCGGUGACUACUGUGUUCCUUCCCAUUCCCCACCCUUUUGUGUAGGAUUGUCUGUAGCAGUUUCCCAAUGCCUGUUCCUCCACUUGACGUUGGGUAUUUGGAGAACAAGAAAAAUUCUCUUUUUAGGUCAGAUGUGUGACAUGUAUCACAUUGUAAAAAAGAGUGCUCAAUGAGCUGUAUUUCAGGAAUUGCACUUAAGGGGAAUUAUUUUUACCUAUAUUGGAUUAAUAUGAUAAGAUUUUGAACUUUGAGCUUAUGUAAUUAUGAAGUGAGACCUUUAGUCUUGGGGAAUGACUGUAUUUUAUAUGCGAGAGGUAUAUAAAUCACUGUGGCCUGAAGAUAGACUGUGGCAGAUUGUAUUUUUCAAAGAUUUCCUGUCACACUUUUUUUUUAUUCUUUAUUUUUCUCUUUCUUUCUCUUUCCUCUUUCUCUUUCCCUUCCUCCCUUCCUUCCUUCUUUCCUUCCUUCCUUCCUUCCUUCCUUCCUUCCUUCCUUCCUUCCUUCCUUCUUUUCUUUCUUUCUUUCUGAGAGGGUCUCACUCUGUUUCCUGGCUAGAGUGGUGUCACAUUCAUAGCUCACUGUAGCUCAAACUCCUGAGUGCAAACAAUCCUCCUACAUCAGCCUCCCAAGUAGCUUGGACCACAGGUGUGCAUCCACUCCUGGCUAAUUUUUUAAUUUUAAUUUUUGUAGAGACGGGGUCUCACUUUGUUGCUCAGACUGAUCUUGAAUUCCUGGCUUCAAGAGAUCCUGCUGCCUCAACCUCUAAACUUGCUGGGAUUGCAGGUGUGAACCACCAUGCCCAGCUACUUUCUUUUUCUUACAAUAUGCCUUUGAUGCUCUUCCCAUCAAGAGGUAUUCCUUUCCCUUGAAUAUGGGCAAGGCUGUGAUUAUUAAUGCUAUAUGACUUUUGAGAGUAGGUCAUGAAGCAUGAUACAUUUUCCUAGUUCAUUUAGGAUGCUUGCUCUUAAUACCUAGCCCCUAUGCUUGUAUAAGUCCAAGAGACCUGUUGUGGGGAGGCUCACAUGAAGAAGAACGCAGGCACCUAGCCUACAGUCUGAUUGAGCUCUCAUCUGAUAACCCAUAAGAACUUGAGAGCCUUGUGAGUAAACCAUCUUGAAUCUUUCAGGACCCAGUUGAAACACUUCAGCUGAUGCUGCAUGGAUCAUUGCGGAUUUGUGAGCAAAAUAAAUUAAUAUAGCUUUUUGUUUUAAUUAAACAAUAUUUUUUGAGACAAGAUCUCAUUUUGUCACCCAGGUGGGAGUACAGUGGCACAUUCACAGAUCACUGUAGCCUCAAAUUCCUAAGCACAGGAGGUCCUCCCACCUCAGCCUCCCCAGUAGCUGAGACCACAGCAUGUGCCACUGUGUCUGGCUAAUUUUUUAUUUUUUUGUAGAAACGGAGUCUUGCUAUGUUGCCCAGGCUGGCCUCAUGUGAUCCACUUGCCUCAGUCUUCCAAAUUGUUGGGAUUACAAGUGUGAGGCACUGCACUGAGCCCAAUAUUCCUUUUUAAGCUACUAAGUUUUGGACUGAUUUGCUUCCCAGCAGUAUACGAUUGAUAAAACACAGAAUAUAGAAUAAAAUUAAUCUCUUAUGUUGUCCUAUGAGGCUUUGUGAGAUUUAGUUUCUACCAACACCCCAAAGUCAUGUCAUACCAUUUUUCACUGUGCUUACUUUGCUUCACUGACUUUUCUCCUGUUUUCUAAAACUAGCUAGUUCUUAUCUUCAGGCUUUGUCAUUGUCAUUCCCUGCUGAGAAUAUUGUCUGUCCAAAUCUUGUAAUUCAGACUCAAAAAUAGUCUGUGGCCACUCAAUCUAAAGUAACCCACCACAAACUCUAGCCCAUCUCCCUAUUUAUUUUCAUCAUGAUAUUUAUAUCUAUCUCAUCUAAAUUUUAUCUAUUUGUCAUCUAUCUAAUUGAAAUUUCAUGUUUCUUUACUACUAAUACGCAAGCUCUGUUAAGACAGAAGUAUUUAGUUUAAUUAGAUCCCAUUUGUCAAUUUUGGUUUUUGUUGCCAUUGCUCUUGGUGUUUUAGACAUGAAGUCUUUGCCCAUGCCUAUGUUCUGAAUGGUAUUGCCUAGGUUUUUGUCUAGGAUUUUUAUGGUUUUAGGUCUAACAUUUAAGUCUUUAAUCCAUCUUGAAUUAAUUUUUGUAUAAGGCGUAAGGAAGGGAUCCAGUUUCAGCUUUCUACAUAUGGCUAGUCAGUUUUCCCAGCACUAUUUCUUAAACAGGGAAUCCUUUCCCCGUUUCUUGUUUUUGUCAGGUUUGUCAAAGAUCAGAUAGUUGUAGAUAUGUGGCAUUAUUUCUGAGGGCUCUGUUCUAUUCCAUUGGCCUAUAUCUCUGUUAUAGGGACACUUUUACACUGUUGGUGGGACUGUAAACUAGUUCAACCACUGUAGAAGUCAGUGUGGCGAUUCCUCAGGGAUCUAGAACUAGAAAUACCAUUUGACCCAGCCAUCUCAUUACUGGGUACAUACCCAAAGGAUUAUAAACCAUGUUGCUAUAAAGACACAUGCACACGUAUGUUUAUUGUGGCACUAUUCAUAAUAGCAAAGACUUGGAACCAACCCAAAUGUCCAACAAUGAUAGACUGGAUUAAGAAAAUGUGGCACAUAUACACCAUGGAAUACUAUGCAGCCAUAAAAAAUGAUGAGUUCAUGUCCUUUGUAGAGACAUGGAUGAAGCUGGAAACCAUCAUUCUCAGCAAACUAUUGCAAGGACAAAAAACUGAACACCACAUGUUCUCACUUGUAGGUAGGAAUUGAACAAUGAGAACACAUGGACACAGGAAGGAGAACAUCACACACCGGGGCCUGUUGUGAGGUGGGGGGAGCGGGGAGGGAUAGCAUUUGGAGAUAUACCUAAUGUAAAUGACGAGUUAAUGGGUGCAGCACCCCAACAUGGCACAUGUAUACAUAUGUAACAAACCUGCACGUUGUGCACAUGUACCCUAGAACUUAAAGUAUAAUAAAAAAAAAAGAAAAAAAAGAAAGACAGAAGUAUUGUUCAUCUUGUUUUCUUCCCUAAUCACGUUACCUAGAACAGUGCCUAUCAGAUAGUAGGCACUCCACAAAUAUUUGUUGACUUAAUGAACCAGUGGAAAUAAAUAUUAAUUCAGUUUUACAUUACACAGCAAAAUAGAAAUCCAAUAUUUAAUCCAGUUCAUAUUACAAAAUAAUACCUUCUUUUUAAAAAUUAAAUCCAUUAAAUUGACAUAGAAAAAUCUUCACCAUCUCAUGACUUUAUAAAAACAAAAUUGGUUUCUAUACCACUUGGAUUAUUUCUACAAAUUCUAUUUAUAUGGUUUGUGUCAAUAAACCAUAGAAAAUAAAAUUUUCAAAUAAAACUUAUAUAUUUGUUAUUUGAUCUUGUUCUACUUAUAUGAAUCUUUUAUUUCAUGCAAAUAAAACCCAAAAUAUGAUUCAGCAACUUUCAGUCUGUUUUUAGAGGCAGAGUCUUGAUAUUUCACCCAGGCUGGAGUGCAGUGUCACAAUCAUGGCUCACUUCAGGCUCAACCUCCUAGGCCCAAAAGAUUUAUUCACCUCAACCUCCUGAGUAGCUGGGAUUACAGGUGUGCACCACCAUGCCUGGAUAAGUUUUAUAGUUUUUGUAGACACAAGGUCUCGCUAUACUGCCCAGGCUGGUCUGGAACUCCUGGACUCAACUAAUCCUUCCACCUCAGCCUCCCAAAGUAUUGGAAUUACAGGUGUAAUCCACCAUGCUUGGCCAAUUUUCAUUCUUUAAUGUUAGGCUUUGAGUUUAGUAUCAAACUUUAAAACAAAAGCAACAACAACAAAAAACAAAAAACAUUUCCAAAAAAGAAAAAAAGUACUGGUAGCAGUCAAUAAAAGAAAAGACUCCAAUUUCCAGGAAUUUGGAAUGUGGAAUCCUGGCAUUAUAGAGAUACAGCUUUUUCAUCUAAUUAAUGUAUAAAAUAGUCAAUACUUUCAUUUUAUUUUCUUGGAGUUUACUCCUUUUCACCCUGAAGCCUGGGUAACAAAGCAAGUGCACAAAAAUCGUUAGAAUAACACUUUUCAACAAGAAGCAGUCCCAAAGUAAGUGAAAGGAAUUUCUUUAGUGAUUUUCUCCCUGAGGGGGAGCAGUAGUCUGAAAUCUCACUGGUAUCUAUUCUGAAAGAAUCAGGGGAUUUAUUUAUGUCAUAAUCUAGUAUUUGCAGCCUGCUUUGAUUUUCCUCGGGAUUUCCUUGGAUAUAUUUUACUGAGAGAAGUGUGAAAAGUACUUCUGAUUUGAGAAGCAUGAAAAGAAAGCCUCAGGCCAGGAGACCAUCUUCUACUCUGAGUCAUCCAUUUGCCUGUUCUGAACAACCUCUACUAUUGGCUCUUGCACAAAGAUCUCCUGAGAGUAGUUGUUGGUAGACUCUAAUUGCCUACUAUUUUUAACUCAUUCCCUUACUCCUUUGAUAAGAGUUGAGAGCCCAAGACUUUAAUGGAUUUUGCACGUAUGUCUUAUUCUAUUUACCUAAUCAUAAUGCAAUUUCACUUCAGCACAAACACAGCCAUAGCAAUCAUGACUUAAUUUUAAUUCCUAACUCACUGUAAGUAAGCCAGCUUAUGCUUUUACUAACCAAUUUCCAAUGCAUAUAAAUAAUAACACAUAUUUGGCAUAUCACAGUGCUUAGCUCUUUCUGAUGAGCAAAAGAUUAUAUAUUUAUUGGUGCUUAUCUUGAUGUUUCACAAGAUUUUUCAUUUAUUUCUAUACUGUUCCCUUAGGUUACUAGGUGCAGUCACUUUCCCUACCACCUGCUUUCCACUAUCUGCUCCUUAUCUUUUUCUUUAGAACCUUGCUUCACCUUCUUCCUCUAUUUGUGACCGCUCUGCAGGUGAUCAGGCUUCCUCCACUUUCCUUACCUUCUGAUUGUCUCAUACCAUCUUCCAUCAUUUUCCACACAUAUUACUUGCUUUAUACCAUACUGUAUUUGUAAAACACAUAAAAGAUUGCUAGUAUUUUUAUUUUAUAGAUGAUGAAACUGAAGUAUGAAAGAUAAAUGACUCACCAGAGGCUAUGAUUUGUGGGCCUUUUAGUGGGUUUAAUAGGAGGAAAGCAAAGGUGAAAUGCCAGAAUAGCGAAGGUGGAGAAAUUUGAGAUGAGUGAUAGAGACCUAAGAAAGUGGCAGUUAAAAUGGUCCAGGGCAUAAAAUGAUGUGAGGAAUAGUAGAAAGAAAAGGAGAAAAAUACCUUAAAAUUGAUGACUCUUCUGUCCUAAUAACUUCAAAGUGCAUUUCAAUUUGAAACCUUUAUCACCUCAUUGCGUGGAGGAGACAAAGGAAAGAAAACAUACAGAGCAUUUGUCUCUUCCUGAAGUUUCCUCAAUUCAUAAAAUCCCUAAGACACUAAGAGAAGAAAAUACUGUGAACAUGUUUAGUUUGAUAUUGGUUAUUGUCAUUUCUUUUCAUUCCUUCAAAUACAUUUUAUAAAUUCAAUUUCACAUAUUAUUUAACCUCAUCUACCUGACAUGAUAUUGUUCUCCUGACACAUCCUGUUUAUUAAAUAUUAAUCACAUAUUUUACUGGUUCCAAAUUAUGCUUUUAUUAUACUUGCUUAUUUGCAGGCGGGGGCUGGGGAAAGGGGGAGUGACUUUCAAUAGAAUCGGGAUCUCUAGUAUGAUCACCCGCAUGAUGACAUCAUCAACAGUAGACUUAAGAAUCCUGUUGGCUCCACUUGCUCUAAAUUUAUCAGUUUCCUCUGGUUCUCUCUAUCAGCCUUAAGGUUGGGUUCCUGUUCAAUACUUUCUUUCUUUUUUUUUUUUUUCUUACUUGUAGGGCCAAUGUGUAGAGCUGCCGACUUUCUUAAUAAUGCAAAUCCAAGGGGUGCCCCUAGCAUUCUGAAAUACGCAAACUUCAAAAACAUAUCUAAUAACCCUGCAUCAGCUCCAUAUAACAGUUUUAAUUAGGGCCCUUAGCAGGGCAUACACUAAUUACUGCAAAGAGCAAACAAAACUAAAAUGAGUAAUAAACAGAAAAUUUAUUUGAUGAGUAUCUACAAUGGGGCAGGUUCAAGGUGUGUUAUAAAUGUUGUGAACUCAAAAGUGGAUAGUAAAGAGCCAGCCCCACUCUCAUGGAGCUUACAUUUUAGUAUGGGUAGGGGCCAAUAAUAAUCAAAUCAAACCAAAUCAAACAAGAUGUUGAAAAGUAAUAAAUGCUAUGAAGAAAAAUAAAAUAGUAUAAUAUCAUAGAAUAGAGAGACAUGGACGCUGUUUUAGGGAAAAAAUGUUACGGGUAUAUAAGCAGAAAAGCAGAUACUCUGAUAAGAGGAUAUAUGAACUGAAAUCUGAAUGAAGCGAAUUAAGUGAGCCUGCCAUGUAAGAAGUAGGAUUUUGGGACAGGGGAAUAGCAAGUGCAAAUAUCCUGAGACAACAGUGUGCUGAGAGUGCUUAAGAAAUAGCAAGGGGGCUCUGUGGCAGGGGUGAAGUGGGCAACAAGUAGAAUGAUAAGAAAUGAUGACACAGAGGAAGCCAGAGAUAAGACCGAGUUCUGACAUUCUUAUAAGCCAUAAUAAGAAUUUUAUUCAAUGUAUGAUAGGAAAUCAUUGAAAGAUUUUAAGCAAGAGUAACACUAUCUGAUUUGCCAUUUAGAAGUCAUUAAGAGGUCAAGAAAUUCUAUAAUUGCUGGUAUGUUCAGAAUAGACUGAGUGAUACAAUAGAGGAAGCAAUGAGGCAAGUUAGGAGGCUACAGAAGUUGUCCAGGUUAGAAAUGAUGGUGUGACUUCAAUGGUAGUGGAGGUAGGGAGAAGGGUGCAAUAAGAACAUAUGCUUAAGGUAGCUCUUGUUACCUUUACUCUGACUGCUAUUCACUGAGGGAUUAGUUAUGAGGUAGGAGAGAAAGAGGGAUGAAAUGUGAUUGUAAGGUUCUAACCCUGAGCAACUAGAUGAAUGGUGAUACCAUUUUCUAUGAUGGGUAACAUUGAAAGACGAAAGUUUGAAAGCAGAUGAUAAUAGGAAUCAAUAUAUUAUGCCUGGAGAUGUUGAGUUGAGUUUGAGGUGCUUACAAGACAAUUUAAUUAGAGAUAAUUGUGGUUUGUAACAGGGAAAGAGGUACUUUUGCAAUGUGCAUGUGGUCACUUAUCUGCUGACUCAACUUGCUGGUGUGAGGAAGCAGCUAACUCUCAGAAAUUUAGGUAGUGUGAAAGAGAAGGCAAGUAUCUAGUAGUAGAGACUAUUUUCACUGUUUGAAUUAUUAUGGAUAGACUGACAGUGGGAAUAUUAUUAAAAUAUGUGACAAGGAAUUCCAGUCAUAAUUAAAGUAAAUAUUUUGCCAGAAAUGAUAACAAAUACCUUUGCACAGAGUUCCCAUUGGUCCCGAAACCUGAAGGUGCUGGCAGUGCCUUUAAGAGGCUAUAGAAUAUGAUCUGCUGUAGUUUUGCUGAGCUUGUUAAAAAUAACCCUUGGCCAGACACAUGCCAUCCUUCAGAAUUAAGUAGAUCCCUCAGCACCUGCUUCCUGUACCCUGUCUUCUGUUACCAUGUGCUUUCUCAGAUACUAAUGGGUUCUUGGCUUUUGCUUCUAGGUAUAAUUGUGAUCUCUUCCCAGGAAAAAGGUAAUGAUCCUGGAACAAGAUAUAUAUGCCUGGUAUAUAUUUAUUAUCUUACAAUUGAGCUUUCAUUACCAAUAAGAGUUCUCUUACCUUGAGUCCUCACCCUGUGCUAAGCUCUUGCAAAACACAUCCCAGAUUUUAUCUCAUUUAAUCCUGGCAACAGUGGUACAAGGCAAAACCUGGUAUUAUUCUCAUUUUUUAUUUAGAGAAAUAUAAUUGUAAAGAAAUUAAGUAAAUUGUGCAAGGCCUCACAGUAAGUUGUAGGACAAUAAAGACGCAACAGGUGCCAUCUACCUCUAAUGGCUGACCACUUACUAUAUUAAAUUGUUCUUGUGAGCAUGGGAGAAUCUUGGGGAAACUAUUAUACAGACUGCUGGAGGUAUGUGACUGGUUACUUUGAAAUUGAACUCUAAUGUGGUCCCAAGAAUUUUUGAAAUCUUGAAAGAGAGUAGAACUUCCAGUAACCCUUCAGAUGUUUCAGAGAAAAUAUCAGGUUUCUGUUUUAAAAUAGAGGUAAUAAACACAUUUUUAAGACAGGCUCUUUUAUUCUAGAAAAAUCUCUUGAGAUAUAUAACUAAACAAAUAAAAGACAGACUCCGAUAUCAGAAAAGCAAUUACAGACCCUUCAUUAUAAGAAGUAAAAAUUGCUCUAUACAAUAGUAGAAAAUAUGGUCACUGUGGUACAUCUCUGCAGCCUGACAUCUGAUUUUUGUUGCUGUUAAUAGAAUGAGACUUGGCUGUUCUAAAAAACUACAGCUUGUCCUGUGGAGAACUGUGAUUACUUCUGAUGGAAAAUGACAGGCUGAAUGCCAGAAGGCAAAGCAACUGUUUUCCUAAGAGUCUUAAGACCCUGAAGGACUUGUGCCUCCUUUGGUGAUCUAGGGGAUAAAGAAGUGGAAUGGAAAUGGAGAGGAAUAGCUGGAACAAAAAGGCAAAGAGGUAUAAUCUAUCAUAAAUAUGCCGCCUUUAUAAGCAUGUGUGUACCAAAAAAAAGCCACAAACCAUAUAAAGUGAGCCUAUAUUAGAAAUAGAAGUAUUUUAUGAAAUAAUAUAUUUAAAAUUUCCAGUAAACAGAAUAUAAAUUUUUCCCAAAUACCCAUAAUAUAUUUACAAUAUUAGAAAAAAAUGCAAGCAGAAUUUAUGUAAAUUAUAUUAAUGGAAUUAACGGAAUAAAAUUAGAAGUUAAAAUUAAAAAUAGCCAAAAUUAAUAUUUGAAAAUAAAAAUAUUUUGUUAUUUGUGUUAAAGGGGAAAUCAAAACUAAAAUUAGAUAUUAUUUAAAAAUGAAUCUUACUAUAUAUCAAAUCACAUAAUAUCAAAAUCAUACUCUAAAGAAAUUUUGUAGCCACAGAUGUAUAUUUUUAGUCUGAUAAAUGAAAUCUGCAUUCACCUCAAGAAGCUAGCGAAACAACAAAACAUUAAGAACUAAAAUCAACAUAAUUUCUGGUCACUUUGUUAAAUAAAAUUGAAACCAGAAUAUUUCCUUGUACCUCUAUUAAGUUAAUACCAAGAACAAGCAAAAAUAAAGCAAUUACUUGUUCUAGAAAAUAUUUUCUCUUUGGAAAUAAGACGAAUAACCAGCUAAAAUAGGUUUUUAAUCAAAACUAACAAAAGUGUUGAUCAAUACUCAUUUCAAGAUCCUGGCUUCAUGGUGCCCAUCAAUCCAAAACUACUUCCUAGACCCUGUUGAAUCUCAACCAACUUCCCCCCUGUCAAGACUAGCUUUAAAAUCACUCAUGAAGGUAUGAGAUUCUAAUAAACAUCUCCCUUUCCCUCUGACUUCUCCUUCUUGAGACACUACACUUGUACUCUAUUAAGGUGAUAGUUUUUCUUCCUGCAAUAGGUCACAUAAACUUAGCUGUCUUCAUCAAUAUUUCUGAAGGUAUUUUGUGAAGUUAACAGCAAUGGAAGAGAAAUAAAUCAUAAAUAUUUGAAAACCAGUUAUUUUAAUAAAAAAAGAAGUGUCUUUUUUUUUAACAGAAUUGCAAAUAACAUAUGGAGAUACUGUGCUCCCAGGAGGUGGAGAUGAAUUAUUAUCCUUUCUUCACACCUUCCCAUUGAGAUUGGGCUAGAUUUGCUGAUAUUUUUCAAAAAAAUAGUGCAGUGAAAAAAAAAAAGGUGCAUUGUUUUAGUACAAGAAACUUGGCACAUUCUACCUCAACCAAAUGAUGAAAGUUAACAUCACAGAUUCCAUGUGGACAUUACUACCUCCCUGGUAUGAUGUGAUGAGAAAGGCAUUUCCCUCUGUGGUAUUAUUUCAAAUGACUGAUAAUUCUGGUCUAAUCAGGAGAAAAACAACACAGAUCCAUUGGAGACUUUCAACAGGACACCUGCCCAGUAUGCCUCAAGACUUUCAAGGUCAUGAAAACCAGAAAGGAGAGAUAAACAAUCACAGAUUAAGACAUUGUGGAAAUUGAACAAUCAGAAGCAAUGAUGUAGCCUAGAUUAAAUCCUAAAUCUGUAAGAGGACAUUGAUGGAAAAACUGGUGACAUCCAAAGAAGUCUUGAAUUUAGUUACAGUAAUAUCCUAAAAGAAAAAAAAUUGAAAUUGAAAGCAAAAUAAAGUACUUCACAAAUAAAUGAGAAAUACAUCAGAUAAUUCAGAUUAUAAACAAAGAGAAAAAAUCAAUUAG
rnacentral:lncRNA from 1 species